UCAUAGUAGUCAUACGCUCGUCUCAAAGAUUAAGCCAUGCAUGGGUAAGUCUAAUAGUUUUAGUGUGAAACUGCGAAUGGCUCAUUAUAUCAGUUAUAGUUUAUUUGGAUGAAUUUUUCUAUGGAUAACCGUAGUAAUUCUAGGGCUAAUACAUGUUUUAAUCUCUUUGAGAUUUUCUUAUUAGAAUAAAACCAAUUGUAUUAGUGAGUAAUAAUAAGAUAAUCGAUCGCAUGCUUUUGUAGCGAUAAUCCUUUCAAGUUUCUGCCCUAUCAGCUUUCGAUGGUAGUGUAUUGGACUACCAUGGCAGUAGCGGGUAACUAAGAA
rnacentral:rRNA from 1 species